rnacentral:lncRNA from 1 species
AAAGAUUGACACUUUCUGCUUAAGGGGUAGACUCUUCGUGGAGAGAUCGGACACACCCAUAUUUGCUUGAGGAAAAUCUACUGGAGAUAUUUGUAUUACCAAAUAGCAGGAGGUAACAAACAACAGAUACCCGGCAACAGCUGCAACAUGAGUACCUGAAUGUUAUGAUUAUGCAUGUAUGCAUUCUACCUAAAAUGUAUGAUGAAUGCUGACAAACAGACAUGUUCAGCGCCAAAGGUCCGGGAAUCAACCAUCCGGAGAGAAAACCAAAGUCAUCAUCCUGCAGGGGAGGAAGAGCCACAAGAGGCUUCCGGAGGGAUCGUCGGUCGCAACCGGAGAACAGAGUUAAACAUACAGGCGGAUGCGCCACAACAACUUGUGCUGAAGAUCAGAAAUACCAAAAAGCAGCCAGAUCUCUGAUGAGAGUAGAUAGGCAUUGAUAAAGCUUCUUGUGCAAACAACUCCACUGAGGGAUCUAUCUGAGAGAAUGUCGGAUUACUGGGAUGUCAAUCCACCAAAUACUGAAUCUUCAAAGAAAAACACCCAUGCUGGUGGAGAGGAAGACUGGCCUGCUGGAGAGGCGAAAGUUGAAGUCUUCAGUGAACACUCUGCUUGGGGAGCUG